rnacentral:rRNA from 1 species
UUGAAAGGGAAACGAUUGAAGUCAGUCGUACUUGCGGGUAAUCAGCCUUUUGGGUGUGAUUCUGUGGAGUGUGAGGAGUUAAACGCCUUCAUGCCUGCAUAUUCGUGCACUUUGGGUGUACUUGCCCGUGUGGUUAGUUAACAUCAAUUUUGGUCGUUAUAAAAUGGCUGGAGGAAUGUAGCUUCGAUCUCGUAUUGAAGUGUUAUAGCCUUCGGUAGAUGUGAUGAUCGGGAUUGAGGAUUGCAACGGAUACCCUUCGGGGCUACCUGUCUGAUCUCUGAUCGUUGCUCUGGUGCCGAAAGCGUGCUUACGGUCAUCAAAGUCGAUGGUCAAUAGGUUAGAACGGGUUAAAUUCGUUAAGGAUGUUGACGUA